rnacentral:rRNA from 1 species
ACGGGUGAGUAACACGUAGGUAAUCUAACCUAAAGCCUGGAAUAACCGGCCGAAAGGCUGGCUAAUACUGGAUAGAGCGAGGAAUUCGUAAUUGGAUUUUUCGGGAAAGGGAGGAAGCAAUUCCCUUCACUUUAGGAUGAGCCUGCGUCCCAUCAGCUAGUUGGUGAGGUAAUAGCUUACCAAGGCAAUGACGGGUAGCUGGUCUGAGAGGAUGAUCAGCCACACUGGAACUGAAACACGGUCCAGACUCCUACGGGAGGCAGCAGUGGGGAAUCUUGCGCAAUGGACGAAAGUCUGACGCAGCAACGCCGCGUGAGUGAAGAAGGCCUUAGGGUUGUAAAGCUCUGUCGCCCGGGACGAAAAAUUAUUAGGUGAAUAGCCUAGUAAUCUGACGGUACCGGGAGAGGAAGCACCGGCUAACUCCGUGCCAGCAGCCGCGGUAAUACGGAGGGUGCAAGCGUUGCUCGGAAUUAUUGGGCGUAAAGGGCAGGUAGGUGGUCUCAUUUGUCUAGGGUGAAAUCCUUGAGCUUAACUCAAGAAGUGCCCUAGAAACGGUGAGACUGGAGUCUUGGAGAGGGUCGUGGAAUU